rnacentral:lncRNA from 1 species
CAGGGUUUCACCGUGUUGCCGAGUCUGGUCUCAAACCCCUGAACUUGUGAUCUGCCAGCCUCACCUCCUAAUGUGCUGGGAUUACAGACGUGAGCCACUGCAUCUGGCCUAGACACAUCAUUUUUAAUGGUACAUCAGUGUUGCCUGCAAGAUUUUAUGAGUAAACGUUUCUCUUACUAUGGUUUUGCCAUUCCAUAUUAAUGUGUUUUUUCAGUUU